rnacentral:rRNA from 1 species
AAACUUGCGAACCUGUCUAAAUGCAGUGGGGAUUGCGUGGGUUGGGGCCUUGUUCUCUUUCCUUCCGCUUUCCCCUCGCGAGUAGAUGUGCGCGGAGCUUUUUGGCAACGUGUUCAUUUACUUGUCGAACAACGAACCCCGGCGCAAAACGCGCCAAGGAUAAUUGAACAAAGUUUGUCCACGUCCCCUGCCCGUUUUCGGGUGGCGUUGGCGUGCACAUCUUUCGAAUAACUAAACGACUCUCGGCAACGGAUAUCUCGGCUCUUGCAUCGAUGAAGAACGUAGCGAAAUGCGAUACUUGGUGUGAAUUGCAGAAUCCCGUGAACCAUCGAGUCUUUGAACGCAAGUUGCGCCUGAAGCCAUUAGGUUGAAGGCACGUCUGCCUGGGCGUCACGCAUUGCGUCAUCCACUCACCCCGUGCCUCAUCGGCAGGUAAGUGCGUGGGCGGAUAUUGGCCCCCCGUUCACAUUCGUGCUCGGCCGGCCUAAAAAUGACGGUCCCCGAUGACGGACAUCACGGCAAGUGGUGGUUGCCAAACCGUCGCGUCGUGUCGUGCAUGCCAUUCUUUGUCGCGGGCUGGCUCAU